GGCUUCCUGGAGGUGAGGGGUGGAGGUUGGCGGGCAGGAAGCACUGCUAGCCAGGUGGAGGAAGCCACCUGACCCCAGGUGUCCUCCCUGGCUGGUUGGCUAGCCCACCUCUUUAUCAUCCCUAACCAAGAGCCUCCCCAGGAGACAUGGAGAGGGAGAAGACAUAAGGACUAGUCCUGUGACCUGGAAGAAAAAGUAGGGUGACUUAAAGGGUUAGAGGCCAGGAGGGAGUUGAAGUCUCCUCUGGUCUGUGGUGUCAUUUUCUGCGGGGACAUGUGCAGGUCUGUGGUCUCGCCUGUUGUCUGGACUCACUGACACAGCAUACCCGCUAGCCUUGGCUAUGGUUGCCUUGGCAGCCUGGGUGAUCCUUCCUUAGGAGCAGGAUUGAGUCAGACCUGCUAGGAGCCCCUUCAACAGCAACCUGCCUUCUGGGACAAAACCGAGGGCCCAUGUCCCGGCUCCCGGGUCAAGGAGAGCUAGGACUCCUGCCAACUACCUACACCUGAUACUCCAUGGCAGCAUGGAUGCUGUCAAGUGGAGGUCCCACCGAGAUGGGGAAAGAUCACCUAACAGGAUCACUCCAAAAAAGGCUGGUUGGCAAAGAGAGAGGAAUGCAUUGUGGAAAAUAAGGUGCCAGGAACAAAGUGAAACUUCGAUUAUGGUAAUGGAGAGACCAACUGAGAGACACUGACUUGGGUAGAGAUCCACAGGAAUGAAAAAAGUUACGUAUCCGGCAUGAUGUCCACUUGGCUGACAGACACCACCCAGGAAUCAGCUGCAGGCUGCAAAUGGCUGAGCCGGGGACCUGCUGAAAGCUGAUAUGACCCAGUCCAGCUGAUGUGGUUGCUCCGUGUCUCUUCAGCUGUGUCAGCUAACCAGAUGCUUCUGACGAGUUCCCCGUCGUCCAGCCUCUGACUAGCCAUUCACCCUUCCUGGGCCCUGACAAUGACGGCCUAGUUUCAGCUGGAAGUAGUUAGAAAAUUGAACAUGACAUCCCUGGUCCCCUAAAAGGCUGAAAUGUUAAGUCAAAAGAAAAUUUCCUGUCAUAGGGGACAACAUGGCUACCCAUAAUGCCAACUGGCAUACCUCGAAAGUGAGCUCAGGCUUAUCACCAGGUUGAUUCAUUAAUUGAAAUAGUUCUACAAUAUGAUCCGGCUCUUGGCCUGAUUUAUACAGAACAAAGAGGUAUAUUAUAUGGCUUUAAGAGGAAAUUAUUUCUACACAAGACAUUCAAGAUUAUAAUUUGAGUAUACUCAAAGAAUCAUUACAAAAUGGCACCUGAGAUACCUGAUCACACGGACACAGGGCACAUGGGGGAGGGGCCUGCUGGAGGAGUUCAAAAGCCACCAAGAAACAGGGAUCAAAGUACCAGGGAGGGGCAGCUCACGUGGGCAUGGCACAAGGCUGGAGCCCUGUGACUAGAGGAGGGAGCCAGGGCGCCUGGGCAGUGUAGGGCAGCAUUCAGUCUCAAGCAGAGAAAACCUGAAAAGAAGCCUACAGGGAAGAAGGAGAAUCCAGGGCACCUACCCAGUUUCUUUUGUAAGAUUCCUGUGGUGACUAAGCAGUCCCUUCUACUAGGACGAGGGGUCAGAGUUGACACCGGCUGUGACUUUUGUGUGGCAGCAGUCUUGACUGGUUUUAGGGAGUAUGUAACAGGUUUCAGAAGCCCCAGAUGCACGGGGUCCUAUGAACUGUCUCCGAUGUGACCCCAGGCACCAGAGGAGUUGGUGGGCUGGCUUGGCUUGAAUUGGCCCAAACCCAGCAUCAUAACGACACUGCCCUUAGCUUAGACCACUAAGGUACCUGUCCCUGUGCACCUGGGUUCAGGGUCACCACCUCAAAGCUGCUAUGGGCCUGAUCUGGAGCAGGUCAAAGACAACCGGAAGCAUCCUCAGCCUCUGCCUUGACCUUUAGGUUUCCAUGCGUAGAGCUAACCAAGUGUUGUGUGGUUAAAAAAUGUGUGCGCACUUGAUUGUAUGAAUGUGCACCACAUGCACGCAGGAGCCCGUGGAGGUGGAAGUGGUAUUGCAUCCGCUGGAACUGGAGUUACAGGUGGUCGUGAGCACCACAUGGGGUGGGAACCAAACUGAGGUCCUCUGUAAGAGCGCCAAGUACUCUCAAUCCCUGACCCAUCUUUCCCGCCCUGUUUUUUUUUUUGGGUUUUAUGUUUCUCAAUAACACACGUACAUCCUAGCAGACGUAUGGCUUUAUCAAACCAUUGAUUUACUAUAUUUAACAAUUUGCAUCAUGAAGCUUUUUUUUCUGAAGCAUGAAUUAUAGUAUAUAUAAGAUGAAA